rnacentral:misc_RNA from 1 species
UGGCUAUAAAUAAUCUUGCAAUUACGAUCCAAGUUUUCUUCUCUAACAUCAGUAGUGGUUAUACUAUCUCAAGAUAAUAUAAUUACAUUUCAGGAGCUUACGGUAACAGAUCUCUCACUUGCUUACGCAGGUGGUGGUCUGGCCGGUCAGUUGAGGGGUACCUUGAGUCUUCCAAAAAGCCUCGGUGGGUAUUCUUCCGUUCCCUGCUUCAAUGAGUGAAUACUAGAUCGUUCGGGGUACUGCAAGUACAUUCUGGAUAAUCAUAUCCAGAGUGCGAAUUUCCCGACGUUACAUCUUAUAUUUUUUUCCUUACAUAGAAAUGCGACCUGUAUACACAUUCUGACCACUUGUGCGCAAUCUCGUGGUCAUACAGGUAAGGCUUAUAGUGAGUGGCUAAUUACUUGUAAAAGUACUUGUACGUGGGCUUGCUCUUGUCUCGGCCAUACAUCAUUAUUGUGGCGGUGUGUGUUGGUUUCUGCCUUCCCUCGUCAUUACGUUAGGACCUGAAGUGAGCCAUGAGAGCCGUACAAGUACUUGUAGUU